ensembl:lncRNA
AUGAACUUUUUAAAGAUCCCACAUAUACAUGGAUUUCAAAAAAAUUUGCAUCAAAAUCAAUCAACUUCUCUUUUACUUCCAGUUUCAACGAACUUUGAAGUGCUCCUGUACAAAACUGGAACCAAAUUAAGAGUGUGUAGAGGGUAUCAACGAACUGAUGUGGACACGGAGGCACAGGGAGGUGGAGGAGCAAUGCCAGGAAAUGGGGAUGUGGGGGGUUUGUGCACAGAGGCCGGGCCUACUUUCCCUACCGCUCUGCAGCACUUCUCUGUCAGAAAACAUCGGGACAUCAGGGGUCUUUCCCGGUGGAAAAGAAGAGAUGGGGGUAGGAUCACUGAAGCCUGCAGCAUAAGAUUGGCAGGUGGAAGCCGAUCCGACACACCUGUUGAUAUCAUGCCUGGAAAGAUGCUCUUGACUCCGGGGCCCCUUGUCAAGGUGAACACCAGCUGUUGGAAUUAUCUAGAUAGAAGAAAGCCAGUAGUGUGGCCAACUGCCUGUUUGCUUUCUUGAGGUAAACUUGGGUUUGUAGAACAGUGGUGUUGGACAAAGUCUAUAUUUAUCAUCGUAUCUAAGUCCUUCAUUCAAUACCUAAGACCUAGAGGUGUGAAGAAAGACUGCUGCAAACAAGUAGCUGCAGGCCCACUGUGAGAACAUGGCUGUGAGUGUAGCCUUUCAAUGUCUCCACCGGGCAAAGCUAAUCAACUUGCUUUGUUUUCCAUGUCUCGCUUUAUCACUAGUGUUCUGAUGGCAUUAGCAGCAGCAGCAAGAUAAGGUCUUCAUAACUAACAUUUAUUCGGUACUUACUGUGUUACUGUGGACUAGCUACUCAGGUAAGCAUUUUAUAUCUAUUACCUUAUUUAAACUCACAACAACUCGCCGAGGUGGGUGUCACCCUUAUUUUAUUAUUAAUUUUGACAGGCAGAGUUAGAGAGACAGAGAGAAAGGUCUUUCUACCAUUGGUUCAACCCCCAAAUGGCCAUUACGGCCGGCGCUCUGUGCCAAUCCGAAGCCAGCAGCCAGGUGCUUCCUCCUGGUCUCUCAUGCAGGUACAGGGCCCAAGCACUUGGGCCAUUCUCCACUGCCUUCCCAGGUCACAGCAGAGAGCUGGACUGGAAGAGGAGCAACCGGGACUAGAAUCCAGGGUGCCAGCCCGCAGGCAGAGGAUUAGCCUAGUGAGCCACAGCGCCAGCCUCACUUAUUUUAUAAAGCUAGGAGCUAAAUCCUUAAGAAGUUGAAUCACACAGUGAGUAAGGUUACAACUGCCCUUGAUCACAGAUAUGCUUGGCUUUAGGCGUGUGUGUGUUUGUAUGUGUUUACUGCUGGCUCUCCCAUGCCUACAAUAUGUCUGGCAUAGUAGAAACUUAGUAAGUGUUUGUGACGUCAACGAAGGACUGGCCCCAGAGUCGGUGCUCUUGGCCAUAUAGCUGACGGUGGGUCUCCAACGUGGCUCAUCGUUAGUGCCACUGCCAGUGCUGUUCACAUUGCAAAUACUAUGGGUCUUUUUAUGACGAUUGUGAGGUGAGUCUGUGCUGAUCCCAAGCCAGGAGCUUCCUCUGGUUCUUCCCAUAUGGGUGCAGGGGUCCAAGGACCUGGGCCAUCUUCUAUUGCUCUCACAGGCCAUAGCAGAGAGCUGGAUGGGAAGUGGAGCAGCCGGGACUCGAACCGGCGCCCACAUGGGAUGCUGGCACUGUGGGCAGUGGCUUUACCCACUAUGCCACAGCACUGGCCCAAUCAGGUCCUUCUGACAGACCUUUCACAUCUCACAUUUUUUUCUGAGAUAGCAGAACAUAACUUUGGAUCUUGGGAGACAACUGAAUUUCCCACACUUAGCCCUAAAAGUCACAUAGCUAUUUCUUACUUUUUAAAUUUAAUUUUUUUUCGUUGACAUGCAGAGUUAGAGAGAGAGAGAAAGGUCUUCCUUCCAUUGGUUUACCCCCCAAGUGGCCGCCACGGCCGGCCAACCCAAAGCCAGGAGCCAGGUGCUUCCUCCUGGUCUCCCAUGGGGUGCAGGGCCCAAGUACUUGGGCCAUCCUCCACUGCACUCCUGGGUCACAGCAGAGAGCUGGCCUGGAAGAGGGGCAACUGGGACAGAAUCUGGCAACCGGGACUAGAACCCGGGGUGCCGGCGCCGCAGGUGGAGGAUUAGCCUAGUGAGCUGCGGCGCCGGCCAACACAUAGCUAUUUCUUGUUCUCCAUCCAAUUCACCUUUUACUGGAGAGACCUGCCCCCCACCUCAGUUUACUCUAGAGGACAGAAGACUCAUGGGGGUAACUUCAGUGCCUUUCAAUAUGAGUGACUCAAAGAAGAGGGAGCACAGUGGCUGUAGCUAUGCCUGGGCUAACUGCAAGCCUUAUGUCCUACAUCUCGUUUGGUUAGGAGAGUUCCAGGCUUCUACUAAAGUCCUGCUAUAAUUACUCAGUCUCAAUCACAAACCUGAGUUUGGACAAUACAUAGUAUGAUAAUACUGCCUAAGAAUGGAAAUAAAAGAACCUCAAAGAGAUAAGUGUCUGUUCUG